GUGUGACUUUUUCAGAAGGUGAGUUACGCGUUCCGGGCAGUCAGUGCACUGCUCAGCAGGAGGAGGUCCUGCAGGUGGUGCUGCAAGGGGUCGGCUGGCCGCAGGGGGGCCGGCAGCAGGGGGACUGCACAGACACAGGCUGGCAGCAGGUGGUGGCUCAGCAGGAGGAGGUCCUGCAGGUGGUGCUGCAAGGGGUCGGCUGGCCGCAGGGGGACUGCACAGACACAGGCUGGCAGCAGGUGGGGUCUCAGCAGGAGGAGGUCCUGCAGGUGGUGCUGCAAGGGGUCGGCUGGCCGCAGGGGGGCCGGCAGCAGGGGGACUGCACAGACACAGGCUGGCAGCAGGUGGUGGCCCAGCAGCAGGGCCUGCACACC
rnacentral:lncRNA from 1 species